rnacentral:rRNA from 1 species
AGAGUUUGAUCCUGGCUCAGAGUGAACGCUAGCGGCGCGCCUAACACAUGCAAGUCGAGUGCUGUUAAAAGCACGGCAAACGGCUGCGUAACACGUUGGAAUCUGCCCCGAACUCAGGGAUAACCCGCCGAAAGGCGGGGUAAUACCGGAUGCCCUCGCAAGAGGAAAGAUUUAUCGGUUCGGGAGGAGCCUGCGGCCUAUCAGCUAGUUGGUGAGGUAAUCCUCACCAAGGCAAUGACGGGUAGCUGGUCUGAGAGGACGACCAGCCAGAAUGGGACUGAGACACGGCCCAUACUCCUACGGGAGGCAGCAGUGAGGAAUCUUCCGCAAUGGACGAAAGUCUGACGGAGCGACGCCGCGCGUGGAUGAAGGCCUUAACUGGUCGUAAACACCUGUUCUGAGGGACGAAAUUUUUGACGGUACCCCAGGAGAAAGUAUCGGCAAACCCUGUGCCAGCAGCCGCGGUAAUACAGGGGAUACAAGCGUUACUCGGAAUCACUGGGCGUAAAGCGUCUGUAGGUGCCUGAGCAAGUCUGCGGUAAAAGUCCGGGGCUCAACCCCGGAAGCGUCGCGGAAACUGUUAAGGUUGAGCAGUGGAGAGGUAUCUGGAAUGUCGCAUGUAGGAGUAAAAUCCGUAGAUAUGCGAUGGAACGCCAAAAGCGAAGGCAGGAUACUAGCCACUUGCUGACACUGAGAGACGAAAGCGUGGGGAGCGAAGGGGAUUAGAUACCCCCGUAGUCCACGCCCUAAACGAUGCGAGCUCGAUGUGGGAGGUUCUCAAUUGCCUUCCGUGUCCAAGCUAACGCGGUAAGCUCGCCGCCUGGGGAGUACGGUCGCAAGACUAAAACUCAAAGGAAUAGACGGGGACCCACACAAGCGGUGGAGCAUGGGGUUUAAUUCGAUAAUAAGCGGAGAACCUCACCUAGGCUUGACAUCUCUGGAAUCUCCCGGAAACGGGGGAGUGCCGCAAGGAACCAGAAGACAGGUGCUGCACGGUUGUCGUCAGCUCGUGCCUUGAGGUGUACUGUUAAGUCAGCGAACGAGCGCAACCCUCAUCCUAUGUUGUUUUUUCAUGGGAGACUGCCGCCUCCAAGGCGGAGGAAGGUGAGGAUGACGUCAAAUCAGCGUGGCCCUUAUGCCUAGGGCGACACCCGUGCUACAAUGGUCGAUACAAACCGUUGCAAACUCGCGAGAGGGAGCCAAUCGGAAAAAAUCGAUCUCAGUUCGAGUUGAAGUCUGCAACUCGACUUCAUGAAGUUGGAAUCGCUAGUAACCGUGAAUCAGCCAUGUCACGGUGAAUAUGUUCCUGGGUCUUGUACUCACCGCCCGUCAAGUCAU